UAGCUCAGUUGGUUAGAGCACACCCCUGAUAAGGGUGAGGUCGGCAGUUCGAAUCUGCC
rnacentral:tRNA from 1 species